UGAAUAUCUUCAGUGAGGGUGGUAAAGGGUUAUUUUCGUGCAACGUGAUUGCCGUUUUUUAUUUGACGUUCAACGUGUUUUUACUUUUUUAUUUGACGUUCAGUCGUGCAAGACAGGUGCCUCGUUCAACGUGUUCUACUUAUUUAAUUUUACGUGCAUCGUGAUUUCCAAUGCUUAUUUUACGUGCUCGAUAUUUUUAAUAUGAAGUUCAAACACUAGGCAGGGAUCGUCAAGAAAAAAAAGAUUGAAUUUUGUUUUUGUGAUAAGACGGAAAGGCCUAUGAUGUUGUUCCUUUAGUUGCAUUUUAAAAUUUCAGAAAAUUGUUAAAUACUUUUUUUUUUAAAGCCGUAAAUCAUUUAUAUCAUACAUGUGUAUACUAAAUAGAGAAUAUUAUGUAAAACAGAGAGUUUAUAUAUACAAGAGGACAGUGACUCAGUCACAAAAGAUUCAAAUUAAAGUCUUUAUUUUUCGUGCAACGUUCAUGACUAAAAUUAUUUCACGUUCAACGUGAAAUGAUGUCUUAUGUUACGUUUUUUCCGAGCAAGCA
rnacentral:lncRNA from 1 species